UACGUAGGGACCGAGCGUUGUCCGGAAUCAUUGGGCGUAAAGAGCGUGUAGGCGGCUAUUUAAGUCCUGCGUGAAAUCCUGCGGCUCAACCGCAGACGGUCGUGGGAAACUGGAUGGCUAGAGUGCGGGAGAGGAGAGUGGAAUUCCCGGUGUAGCGGCGAAAUGCGCAGAUAUCAGGAAGAACACCCGUGGCUAAGGCGGCUCUCUAGUACGGUACUGACGCUGAGACGCGAAAGCGUGGGGAGCGAACAGG
rnacentral:rRNA from 1 species